ensembl:lncRNA
GAAAGCAAGAGAGCGAAUGUGUGUUGUAUAUGUCUGAGUGUGUGUGUUUGUGCGUGUGCUCGCUCUGUUCCUUUCCUUUCUUUGUUUGACUACUGAGUGGGAGAAAAAAAAAGAGAAAGAAGCGAGACAGAAUAUAGAGAGAUAGUGAGAGAGGGUGAGGAAGAGAAAACACAGACAGAGGAGAAGAAGAGGAGGAUCUAAAAGGAGAGUUUAUUUUUUAGACAAGAAGAAAGACAAAGAGGAUUUCUGUUUUGGGGCUGCUUUCUUUUUUUCCUUCUGUUCUAUACUUGCAGAAUAGAAUAGGAAAUAUAUAUAUAUAAAUACAAAAACAACAACAACAACAGUGCUGCAUGCUUUUGACAACAGUGUCAUAUUCAGUGAGUGUUUUGUGUGCUGGCUCAGUGCGCGUGUGUGCUGAGGAGGUGGGGGGAGGCAGCCUGUGCAAUUUAAAGGGAAAAUACAAGACACACACAAAGCUGGGAGCGCAGGCAAGGCAAGGCAAGGCAAGGCAGCAGGAAAGGCAAAAGGAAAGGGAAGCUAGUGGGAAUCUGCUGAGCUGGCUCCCACCAACAAGACUCUUUUUGGAUUUUACUCCAGCGAAGCCGGCUCCGUGUCUCCCCUGUGCACUCAGCCUGCUCCCGGCAACGGAGGUCGGAGAUGUCAUGGUGGCUCCUGGCUGCUGAAAGAGAAGGACUAGUUCACCCAUGAUCAUCAGCAGCCACCAGUGUUCGUGGGAGACACCAAGAACAUCAAAACCCCCGAGAAUUCACUUGUUCAAGCCUCUGGCAUAAGAAGAGUUCUUAUUUUUCUUACUUUUUUGUGAUGGUAAACUGUUUUUGUCUUUGGGUUUUCAU